rnacentral:lncRNA from 1 species
ACAAAGGGUGCACUUUCAAUAUGGAUUGAUCAAGCAACAUAACUGAAAACUGCAAAGAAACAAUUGCUGAAGUUGUUUUCUUGCUUUCCUCUCCCCGGCCUGCUACCUUUCCCUUUUGAAUCCCUACUUUCACGCUCAAAAGAAGACAUUGAGUUUCUUCUUUUCGAACUAUUCAAUCAAAUGGUAGUAUAACUAGAUUGCUAAAAUUUAACCCCUAAACACUGUAUAAAAAAUGGACUCUCUAAAUCUUUGAUGGAAACUUUACAGGUGGUAAUCUAGAAGCUUCUUCAAUACAGCUAACAUCUAUUUGCAAGCAUCCUUGAAACUGAGAACUACUUGAUUUCAUGUCAUACUUGUAUCUCUUGAAUGAUCGCAAACUCUCAUUUUUGUCCUGCUGAGAAAAUAAACAAAUAAACUUUCACCUUUGUAGCAUUAGUGUUUUUAAAACAGUUUCAUAAAGAUAUAAUCAAGUAGAUACUUCAAACAAUCAUGGAAUAAUAGAGUUGCAGCAACACUGCUACUAUAACUUCGAUUGUGCUUUCAUUUGCGAGCUGUGUCAUGUAUGUAAGAUACAUGUCAUGGAAGAAGUUAAGUUUGCUUAGCAAAUGUAACAGAAAGGUAGGAGCAGUAACUGAACAUGUAUCAUUUAUAAGCAAAUAAAGGGUGUUAAGAGCUACCAAUGAUCCCGGAUUCAUUG